rnacentral:lncRNA from 1 species
UUUGUUUUAGUUUAUUGUUGUAUGCUCUUUGUUACUUCGUAUUUGGAGUUUCUAGUUUUGGUUCGACAAAUUGCUAUUGUUCAAUUUUUAGUUAUCUUGUUAUUUUAUUAUUGUUUUCUUUUAACUUUUACCAUUAGUUUUAUUCAGAUUAUUAUAAGUUAAAAUGGCCAAUGAAGAAAUUAUCGUCAAUUUCCAAGGCCUUCCAUGUUAAUAAGACGGGUUUUAUUUUUAAGUUAUUAUUUGAAUUAUUCAUUUUUAUUCACAUUUAUUUAGUACUAACACUUUUACUAAGUGUCUUUACAGGUUCACGGAGCUGCUUCCCAUUGAAGCUAUUCGAACGGAGUUCGAAUUAUAAUUUUUAUUUAUUAUUUUGUAUAUAUUGAUGUUAGACAAAUUUUAGGCCGUGUCUUAUAUUACUGGGUGUAUACACAAUAUUUCUGCUGUAGGCUCUUAUUAGAAAUAGGGCAGGUUUGGGCCAAAGCCCAGAUUAAUCCAUAGCAGCUAUUAGGCUCAAAAUCAGCCCAGGCGAACAUACUUCUGAUUUUGGGCCCAAUAGGCCCAUUUUUGCGUAUUUUCGACAAUCUGGAAAUUUUAAUUAUUGAAUAUUUGACAUAUAAUUUUUCGGUGCGGAACUGGUAGUUGGGGAAGUCAUAGAAGUAGUAGUGUGGUAGGUGG